rnacentral:tRNA from 1 species
AGCGAGGUGGCUGAGGUUAGGCAAUAGAUUGUAAAUCUAUGUAGGAAUAUUAUUCUCUCGUUA